rnacentral:rRNA from 1 species
AUUGAACGCUGGCGGCAGGCCUAACACAUGCAAGUCGAGCGGGGUUUUCGGACCUAGCGGCGGACGGGUGAGUAAUGCGUAGGAAGCUACCUGAUAGAGGGGGAUACCAGUUGGAAACGACUGUUAAUACCGCAUAAUGUCUACGGACCAAAGUGUGGGACCUUCGGGCCACAUGCUAUCGGAUGCGCCUACGUGGGAUUAGCUAGUUGGUGAGGUAAUGGCUCACCAAGGCGACGAUCCCUAGCUGGUUUGAGAGGAUGAUCAGCCACACUGGAACUGAGACACGGUCUAGACUCCUACGGGAGGCAGCAGUGGGGAAUAUUGGACAAUGGGCGCAAGCCUGAUCCAGCCAUGCCGCGUGUGUGAAGAAGGCCUUCGGGUUGUAAAGCACUUUCAGUAGGGAGGAAGCGUUGUGUGUUAAUAGUACACAGCGUUGACGUUACCUACAGAAGAAGCACCGGCUAACUCUGUGCCAGCCGCCGCAGUAACAC